rnacentral:rRNA from 1 species
CAAUAGCGUAUAUUUAAGUUGUUGCAGUUAAAAAGCUCGUAGUUGGAUUUCGGGUGGGACGCAGCGGUCUCGCAUUGCGUUUGUACUGCUGCAGCCCUCCUUCUUGCCGGGGGCGGCCUCUCGGACUUCACUGUCUGGGGGUCAGAAUCGGCGAUGUUACUUUGAGUAAAUUAGAGUGUUCAAAGCAAGCUUACGCUCUGAAUAUAAUAGCAUGGGAUAACACGACAGGACUCUGGCCUAUCGUGUUGGUCUAUAGGUCCAGAGUAAUGAUUAAGAGGGACAGUCGGGGGCAUUCGUAUUCCGUUGUCAGAGGUGAAAUUCUUGGAUUUACGGAAGACGAACAUCUGCGAAAGCAUUUGCCAAGGAUGUUUUCAUUGA